UUUAAUCCAGAUUGCUGAGGUUGGGUCAGACCAGGGGAUGCUUCAUUUUGAAGGGAUUUAUGGCUAACAGGGACGAAUGAAGGCUUUGGCUUCACCUUGGCUCCUCUGAGAGACCUUUGCUGCCCACAGAGCCCAGCCCAGGAUCCAACUCGGGGCAGGGACUGGAAAAUGUCCCCAUCUGUCCCCCGGCUGCAGUUCUGAGCCCGCAUUUCAGUGCUUUUCACUCCCAUUUUCCUCAUGAUGGAGUUUGUGGUCUCCUCCUCCCCACUACAGCUGGAGGUGCAGCAGUGGCCAAGGCAAAACUGGUGAAGACAAACCUCCUUGGGUCACUGGUUCCACCUGGAAACUCCCUGGUGACGCUGAGUCUCAGCAUUUUUUGGGCUGGUUUUUUCUGUUUUGCUUUGCAGGUAUUGAAGAGCCAAGGGAGGGGCCAUUGUAGAGCGAAACUCUGCGUUCUCACCAGGGCUCCUUUGCGAAACACAUGAGGGUUUUCUGUUCCAAGAGAUAAGAAAACAAGCUUGGUUUUAUAUCCUUUUCCUGUGAGGGUGAUAACAGCUUUCAGAAUUCCUGUGGACUCUGAUCUCCAAAUGGGGGGCUCCCGGAGCCCUCAGAGGAGCCGCCGUUGGACUUUGUUUGGAAGGUGAUUAAGAACAAACAGAUCCUGGAAAGCCGAGGCAAAACCUUGAGCAAGAGGAAACUUGGCAGAGGGAAGAGCCGCGAUGCCGCCGGUGCUGGAGUCCCCACACGGCAGCGAGGGAACCUCCAUUGCCAUGGAGUGCUGAGGCUGAGCUUUGGGAGGGGUGGAUAGAAACAAGAUGGGGGGUUCCCCUCAGGUGGAGCUGUUUUGGGGAGGGUUUUCCUGGUCACCCCUCCUUUCCCCAUGGACAAUCCCAGCAGAGGGCAGCAGGAGAUGCCCUGGGCACCCUUUGCUUUCCCAGGGGUGCUGCUCCAGACUACCCACCUACGCCUGUCCCCUCCUGGUCCUCACCUUGGGACAUCUGCUAAAAACUCCCAAUUGUUCUGGCUUGAAAGACAUGUUUUUGCGGCUGAAGGAGUUGGAACUUAUUAGAGUUGAGUUAGAACUUAUUACAAGCUAAGCUGGGAUUCAUUAAAGUUGUUGGAAUUUAUUAAAGAGGCAUUUUUUGGCCUGUAGGAAUUGGGACUUUUUAAAGUUGGGAAUUAAAGAGGCAUUUUGGGGACUGUAAGAGGUGGAACAAAAACACCUUUGAAUCUCAUCUUGCCCUCCCUGCUCUCUAGACAUCUCUGGCCCUUCACCUCCUCAAUGUCCUGGGUGAUUUUUUGGGUGACUCUCUCCUUUCCAUGAAUUAUGGUGCCGCCCCUCCCAUGAACAUUCUGGGGUCUUGGUGGAGACUGUGCGACCCCACAGGGCUCUGGAGGCAGCACUGGGGGGUGCCCAACCUGACCCAGCAUUGACCCCAAGUCCUUGUGAGAUGAGCCAGGGAGCCAAACACGAAUUCCAAGAGCUGCUCAGGUGGAGGCCGUGUUCCUGGCCAGGGUGACAACAGGAAGGGUGGCUGUUGGCCCUUGCUGGCCUGGGAGCUGUUUCCUGGCUCCUGACGAGGGAUCUCAUGGCACAACAGGCUGGGCAGAAGCUGAGUAGGAGGAGGAAGGCUCUGGAGGAGGAGGGUGCUGGCACAGCCUGUGCCAUGACUAAUGCCAACACCCAGGCCAGGCUCUCCUCCUGGGGCACAGCUCACUCCUCUCCAGCAGCAUUUCAAUCCUGGAAAUGCUCUGGAAAUGUCAGUAUUUGCAGAAAUAAAGUUUCCUGGUGUGGAGCCUC